CGAAAGAUACGUGAGGUCACGUGACACCUUUUUCCCACCUGGUUUGACGUUCAUUACGUGUGUACCAUCGCAAAGCUUCUUCGAAGCCCGUUCGUUUGAUAUCCAUGUCAAUAUGGUUGGGAAUCACGCAUGGACCAGCGAAAGAUACGUGAGGUCACGUGACACCUUUUCCCCACCUGGUUUGACGUUCGUUACGUGUGUACCAUCGCAAAGCUUCUUCGAAGCCCGUUCGUUUGAUAUCCAUGUCAAUAUGGUUGGGAAUCACGCAUGGACCAGCGAAUUAUACGUGAGGUCACGUGACACCUUUUUCCCACCUGGUUUGACGUUCGUUACGUGUGUACCAUCGCAAAGCUUCUUCGAAGCCCGUUCGUUUGAUAUCCAUGUCAACAUGGUUGGAAAUCAUGCAUGGACCAGCGAAUUAUAGGUGAGGUCACG